UGAAAAAUUGAAAAUUUUUGAAAAAAAAAUUGUCGGAAAAGCGCGUUGCUGCCCCCCUUUGCUGCUUUCAAGUGUUGGCGUGCAGAAAAAUUGCAAAAUACAACCGCAAGAUAGAAAAUCCUUUUAGGCUGCGAAUUAAUAGCAAAAUCUGAAUAAUUAAGUACAAAAGACACGUCUGUGUCAUUGCUGCUUGCAAGUAUUGGUGUGUGGAGAAGUAGUUGUAAGCACAACCUGCAUAUAGAACAGCGUUUUAAGCUACGAACCAAUACCAAAACUGAUCAACUAGUCCC